GGUAUGUCUAUCCCAUAUGUGGUUCUCCUUAUUACUGCUUGUUCCUCGUUUUGUCUGAUGCUAUGGUUGGCAGCUACCCCAUUAAAAUCUGCCACUACUAUUGCCCAAUUAGAUGCUCAAGUAUUGAACUGGGAAAUGCCAGAGGUUAUACCUGAUUCAGCUGCAGAGAGGGAAGACAUAGAUUUGGGGAAAAGUUCAUACAGUGCAGAGCCUAUAGAAAGUCAUUCAGACUUGUCAGCGACAAAGUUUGAUUUUGAUUUGCC
rnacentral:misc_RNA from 1 species